rnacentral:rRNA from 1 species
UACGAAGGGGGCUAGCGUUGCUCGGAAUCACUGGGCGUAAAGGGUGCGUAGGCGGGUCUUUAAGUCAGGGGUGAAAUCCUGGAGCUCAACUCCAGAACUGCCUUUGAUACUGAAGAUCUUGAGUUCGGGAGAGGUGAGUGGAACUGCGAGUGUAGAGGUGAAAUUCGUAGAUAUUCGCAAGAACACCAGUGGCGAAGGCGGCUCACUGGCCCGAUACUGACGCUGAGGCGCGAAAGCUAGGGUAGCAAACAGG